rnacentral:pre_miRNA from 1 species
AGCCUUCUGUAUCCGUGCUAAGAUUUUGUCACACAACAGACCACAAGGGCUGGUGAGACUCGCAAAAUAAGCGAAGCG